UACGUAGGGUGCAAGCGUUGUCCGGAAUUAUUGGGCGUAAAGAGCUCGUAGGCGGUCUGUUGCGUCGGCUGUGAAAACCCGGGGCUCAACUCCGGGCCUGCAGCCGAUACGGGCAGACUAGAGUUCGGCAGGGGAGACUGGAAUUCCUGGUGUAGCGGUGAAAUGCGCAGAUAUCAGGAGGAACACCGGUGGCGAAGGCGGCUUGCUGGGCCAGUUCUGACGCUGAGGAGCGAAAGCGUGGGGAGCAAACAGG
rnacentral:rRNA from 1 species